rnacentral:rRNA from 1 species
AGCGAACGCUGGCGGCAGGCUUAACACAUGCAAGUCGAGCGCCGUAGCAAUACGGAGCGGCAGACGGGAGAGUAACACGUGGGAACGUGCCCUUUGGUUCGGAACAACCCAGGGAAACUUGGGCUAAUACCGGAUAAGCCCUUACGGGGAAAGAUUUAUCGCCGAAGGAUCGGCCCGCGUCUGAUUAGCUAGUUGGUGGGGUAAUGGCCCACCAAGGCGACGAUCAGUAGCUGGUCUGAGAGGGUGAUCAGCCUCACUGGGACUGAGACACGGCCCAGACUCCUGCGGGAGGCAGCAGUGGGGAAUAUUGGACAAUGGGCGCAAGCCUGAUCCAGCCAUGCCGCGUGGGAGAUGAAGGCCCUAGGGUUGUAAAGCCCUUUCGGCGGGGAAGAUAAUGACGGUACCCGCAGAAGAAGCCCCGGCUAACUUCGUGCCAGCCGCCGCCGUAA